rnacentral:ncRNA from 1 species
ACGGACUUCUGGAGAGACCGAAACGUUUUUCAACGCAUUAGGCGCCGAAGGGGCAAGAGGAGUAUGACUCCCCCAAUCUCUCAGGCAAAAGGACAGAAGCU